rnacentral:rRNA from 1 species
CAGUCGCCGCGGUAAUACGUAGGGUGCAAGCGUUAAUCGGAAUUACUGGGCGUAAAGCGUGCGCAGGCGGUUCGUUAAGACAGAUGUGAAAUCCCCGGGCUUAACCUGGGAACUGCAUUUGUGACUGGCGGGCUAGAGUAUGGCAGAGGGGGGUAGAAUUCCACGUGUAGCAGUGAAAUGCGUAGAGAUGUGGAGGAAUACCGAUGGCGAGGGCAGCCCCCUGGGCCAAUACUGACGCUCAUGCACGAAAGCGUGGGGAGCAAACAGGAUUAGAUACCCCGGUAGUCCCUGUCUCUUAUAC